rnacentral:rRNA from 1 species
UACAGAGGGGGCAAGCGUUAUUCGGAAUUAUUGGGCGUAAAGGGCGCGUAGGCGGCUUGGCAAGUGGAUGGUGAAAUCCCUCGGCUUAACCGAGGAACUGCCGUCCAAACUGCUUCGCUUGAGACCAGGAGAGGUGAGUGGAAUUCCCAGUGUAGCGGUGAAAUGCGUAGAUAUUGGGAGGAACACCAGUGGCGAAGGCGGCUCACUGGACUGGUACUGACGCUGAUGCGCGAAAGCUAGGGGAGCAAACGGG